UUUCUUUUUUUCCUAAGUUUAUUAGAGCCCCUCUCCUUAACUUCAGUGUUCCUUCAGCUGACUCUGCCUCUUCAAUGACUCUCCCACCAUGGCCAGGCUAACAGUGUGUGCUUUAACAGGGAUGGUGGUGACACCCCACGCUCAGACUGAGAUGAUGACGUAAGGAAGUAGUCACAAGGCAGUAUGGAUAGCAGGCAAGAACUGGGGUCCCGGGGCCGCACUGCCUGGAUUCCAAGCCUGAUUUUGCAUGCAUGACUUGAGACUUCAGGGGCAAGUCCAGCCAGUCAGCAAGCCACCUGAAUUUACAGGAGUGACAUUUCCACGUUAUUCAAAUUCAAAACAAGCCUACUCGGUGAACCUCAGCCCCAAGGAAUUCACAGUGCUCUACAUCGACUCCCAAUUUGCAAUUCUAGCAUCUCACUGAGACCAGGCAGUACAGAAAGAGACCUUGUGUUUUGUGACAAGUUCUUCUUUCAAGUCUUCAUGCUCAAAGAGAAUUGACUACAGAGUGUCAGGUGUCCUUCAGCUGAGAUUUAACAAGCAGUCAUCACAACUCCAUCUUUCUCCCUCACGAAACUGUUUCUCCUGAAUGCCCAUGAAAAUGUUAUCACAUAGGAAAUAUUUGUGAGACCUGAUCUCUAAUAAUUAUCAGCACUGAACGACUUUUGAAUGAAGAAAAUGGUAAGAAUUAUCUCAUCUCUUAGGAUUCUUCUAUUUGGUAACUAUUAAUACAUUUGCUAAUUUUUUCAUUUACUAGCAACAAAUACAAGUUUGCAAUGGUUUAAUGUUUACCUUUUUAAAAAUAACACUUUGGUUUUCAGUGUGUUGAAAGGAGAAAGCAAAAAGCGAUUGUAUUUUUAAAAGCUUUGGUGUAUUGUCACUGAGAAAUGAACUGGACCAGCCAUAUUCCCAAAUUUGUUUUUUUAAACAAGUGGUAAAUGGUAAUUAAGUAAUCCACCUUGAACAACAUUUCAAGUUUUACGUUUAUUCAGGAUGCUAUGGCCAAGAUGGCUCCCAGACAGUUUUUUUCACUAAAGAUUACAUUUUUGCAACAAUUUUCAUUGUGUUGGUCAACUUGUGAGCAAGAAUCAUAGUUUGGAGACUUUGACUUCAAAAACACCUCAAAACUUGGUUUCUUCUGCUUCAAGAUUAGUAUAUCAACUAAAAUGAUUUAAGAAAAAAUGAGUGAA